rnacentral:rRNA from 1 species
GAUGAACGCUGGCGGCGUGCUUAACACAUGCAAGUCGAACGAUGACCCGGUGCUUGCACCGGUGAUUAGUGGCGAACGGGUGAGUAACACGUGAGUAACCUGCCCUUAACUCUGGGAUAAGCCUGGGAAACUGGGUCUAAUACCGGAUAUGACUCCUCAUCGCAUGGUGGGGGGUGGAAAGCUUUUUUGUGGUUUUGGAUGGACUCGCGGCCUAUCAGCUUGUUGGUGAGGUAAUGGCUCACCAAGGCGACGACGGGUAGCCGGCCUGAGAGGGUGACCGGCCACACUGGGACUGAGACACGGCCCAGACUCCUACGGGAGGCAGCAGUGGGGAAUAUUGCACAAUGGGCGAAAGCCUGAUGCAGCGACGCCGCGUGAGGGAUGACGGCCUUCGGGUUGUAAACCUCUUUCAGUAGGGAAGAAGCGUAAGUGACGGUACCUGCAGAAGAAGCGCCGGCUAACUACGUGCCAGCAGCCGCGGUAAUACGUAGGGCGCAAGCGUUAUCCGGAAUUAUUGGGCGUAAAGAGCUCGUAGGCGGUUUGUCGCGUCUGCCGUGAAAGUCCGGGGCUCAACUCCGGAUCUGCGGUGGGUACGGGCAGACUAGAGUGAUGUAGGGGAGACUGGAAUUCCUGGUGUAGCGGUGAAAUGCGCAGAUAUCAGGAGGAACACCGAUGGCGAAGGCAGGUCUCUGGGCAUUAACUGACGCUGAGGAGCGAAAGCAUGGGGAGCGAACAGGAUUAGAUACCCUGGUAGUCCAUGCCGUAAACGUUGGGCACUAGGUGUGGGGGACAUUCCACGUUUUCCGCGCCGUAGCUAACGCAUUAAGUGCCCCGCCUGGGGAGUACGGCCGCAAGGCUAAAACUCAAAGGAAUUGACGGGGGCCCGCACAAGCGGCGGAGCAUGCGGAUUAAUUCGAUGCAACGCGAAGAACCUUACCAAGGCUUGACAUGAACCGGUAAUACCUGGAAACAGGUGCCCCGCUUGCGGUCGGUUUACAGGUGGUGCAUGGUUGUCGUCAGCUCGUGUCGUGAGAUGUUGGGUUAAGUCCCGCAACGAGCGCAACCCUCGUUCUAUGUUGCCAGCGCGUGAUGGCGGGGACUCAUAGGAGACUGCCGGGGUCAACUCGGAGGAAGGUGGGGACGACGUCAAAUCAUCAUGCCCCUUAUGUCUUGGGCUUCACGCAUGCUACAAUGGCCGGUACAAAGGGUUGCGAUACUGUGAGGUGGAGCUAAUCCCAAAAAGCCGGUCUCAGUUCGGAUUGGGGUCUGCAACUCGACCCCAUGAAGUCGGAGUCGCUAGUAAUCGCAGAUCAGCAACGCUGCGGUGAAUACGUUCCCGGGCCU